rnacentral:rRNA from 1 species
UAAGACGUAGGGGGCGAGCGUUGUCCGGAUUUACUGGGCGUAAAGAGCGCGUAGGCGGUUCGUUAAGUGCACAAGUGAAAGCUCCAGGCUCAACUUGGAAAUUGCUUUGCAUACUGGCGGACUUGAGGGACGCAGAGGUCUGUGGAAUUCCUGGUGUAACGGUGAAAUGUGUUGAUAUCAGGAGGAACACCCAUGGCGAAGGCAGCAGACUGGGCGUUUCCUGACGCUGAGGCGCGAAAGCGUGGGUAGCAAACAGGAUUAGAUACCCUGGUAGUCCACGCCCUAAACGAUGGAUACUAGGCGUCGGAGGUAUCGACCCCUCCGGUGCCGCAGCAAACGCAUUAAGUAUCCCGCCUGGGGACUACGGCCGCAAGGUUG